GUGGCUACAAAUGUACCUGCUCACCUGGAUGGACUGGGCAAAACUGUCAGCAAGAAAUAGAUGCGAGUAUGCAGAAACCACGUCUACAUGGACGCCGUGUAAACAAACAUGGUGGCUCAGCUACACGGACUAGGCAGACUUUUCAACAAGACCAUGCAUGCAAGAGUGGAUGGAGGAAACACAACAACCACUGCUACAAGCUGAUGACAGACAGAGUCAACUGGAGCACCGCCAACAGCCGAUGUAAAAAUCAACGUGCAAAUCUUGCUUCUAUUCACAGCCAGGCCGAGAUGAACUUUGUCAGUGCUUUGAUCACUAACGGUACGUUAUAAAAUAUAAACAGCUCCUUGUUUGUUUUCUUUAUUGUAUAAGGUUUUCUU